CCUCCUUCUACGAUGAGUUUUAUCGCCUCUUCGUCCAUGCUCCAUCCUCACAUAUCUCGACCUCUAGCCACCAUGGGAUCCCAUAUCUCUACUUCUCUCGAAAGCUUGAAACCCCAGAAGCCUCCACCAUGAAGAUGGUUACUGAAGGCUUGUCGAGGUCCUAUUCCAUCCUUUCUCCGAUGGAUUUUGGUUCGAUGAUGCUAAAAACGUCAUUAUCUUUGAGCUUCACGGCCAGGUUUCUCCUACCCCUCUCACUGGUUUCUUAUGGAACCUAAUCUUAACCCAAACUUCUCAAACCUCUGAUUUUUAACUCAUACCUUCAUGUUUUACACUAUUUUUUACUCGAUCUUCACGAUUAUUUCAGUUUUAAGCAAUUUAUGUUCCCUUUUGAAACUAGGUUUCUGACUCCUUUUCGAAAUCACUUUAUCUUCUAGUUUUGAGUAUUAAUUCGUGAUUCUCAGUGUAUUUUCUAAUUAUUUUUGCUAAGUCUGAUGAAACCCUAACUUUGUAUGUCUGUGUUUGCAUUAUUUGCUUGUUUUGUUCUUCUGAGUUCUUCUCCAAGUACUAUGCUCCUUGCUUUGAUGUUGUUGUUAGAGUUUCGUGUUCUUCACUUAAAGUUUCUCUUAUUUCUUGCAUGGUGGUUUUUACAUUGAUUCCCCGAACCCUCUUUGAGACUGUGGUACUUGCUUUCAAAUUGUAACUCUGCGUAUUUUCCUAUAGUUUGAAUUUCUUCCUUAAUUUAUGGGAUACUUUUCUCAGUUACUACUGAUUCCCUAGGGUUUCAAUCUCGG
rnacentral:lncRNA from 1 species